rnacentral:rRNA from 1 species
UACGGAGGGUGCAAACGUUGCUCGGAAUCAUUGGGCGUAAAGCGUGUGUAGGCGGUCUGUUAAGUCGGGUGUGAAAGCCCUGGGCUCAACCCAGGAAGUGCAUUCGAAACUAGCAGACUUGAGUACGGGAGAGGGUCGCGGAAUUCCCGGUGUAGAGGUGAAAUUCGUAGAUAUCGGGAGGAACACCUGUGGCGAAGGCGGCCCCCUGGUCGGAUACUGACGCUGAGACGCGAAAGCGUGGGGAGCAAACAGG